rnacentral:rRNA from 1 species
AACGAACGCUGGCGGCAGGGCCUAACACAUGCAAGUCGAGCGCGCCUUUCGGGGUGAGCGGCGGACGGGUUAGUAACGCGUGGGAAUAUACCCUUUGGUACGGAAUAGCCUCUGGAAACGGAGAGUAAUACCGUAUGAGCCCUUCGGGGGAAAGAUUUAUCGCCAAAGGAUUAGCCCGCGUUAGAUUAGGUAGUUGGUGGGGUAAUGGCCUACCAAGCCUACGAUCUAUAGCUGGUUUUAGAGGAUGAUCAGCAACACUGGGACUGAGACACGGCCCAGACUCCUACGGGAGGCAGCAGUGGGGAAUCUUGGACAAUGGGGGCAACCCUGAUCCAGCCAUGCCGCGUGAGUGAAGAAGGCCCUAGGGUCGUAAAGCUCUUUCGCCUGUGAAGAUAAUGACGGUAGCAGGUAAAGAAACCCCGGCUAACUCCGUG